CCUACGGGAGGCAGCAGUGAGGAAUAUUGGUCAAUGGGCGAGAGCCUGAUCCAGCGAAGCCGCGUGAAGGAUGAAGGCCCUACGGGCUGUAAACUUCUUUGGUCAGGGAGCAAUUGGGCCCACGCGUGGGCUUAGCGAGCGUACCUGAAGAAGCAGCCUCGCCUAGCUCCGUGCCAGCAGCCGCGGUAAUACGGAGGUUGCGAGCGUUAACCGGAUUUAUUGGGGUUAAGGGGUGCGUAGGGGGAAGAUCAGGGCAGCGGUAAAAAUUCGGGGCUCAACCCCGUCGUGCCGUUGAAACUGGUGUUCUUGAGUGGGCGAGAAGUAGGCGGAAUGCGUGGUGUAGCGGUGAAAUGCAUAGAUAUCACGCAGAACACCGAUGGCGAAGGCAGCAUACCGGCGCCCAACUGACGCUGAAGCACGAAAGCGUGGGUAUCGAACAGGAUUAGAUACCCUGGUAGUC
rnacentral:rRNA from 1 species